rnacentral:rRNA from 1 species
GGUGGAUGCCUUGGCACCAGGAGCCGAUGUAGGACGUAGGAGGCUGCGAUAAGCCUCGGGGAGCUGUC